UUUCAACUUGUCAUCGCGUAAUUUAGUUCUUCUCUCAGCAACUGUAGAUGCUGAUAAACCUACAAAAUAUGACUCCUUUUGAGUUAUUUGCAACGAACAGAGGGCCCAUCAAAAUUGAGAAUUUUGGUGGGUAUAUCUCUAAUCACUCUGUUGUGUGGCAUUGAAUCCGUCAUUAUAGAGAAAAAUCAAAGCUUCCUGGUGAGUAAACAAUUCCAAUGGUUACUGUUUCAGAAAUUUAUGAAAAAAUCGGUAUAAAAAUUAUAGAAACAAAAAAAUGGUAUCAAACUCGAAGAACAAAACUUACCAGGCGUAUAAUUUUUGGGCGCAAUUCGCGUAUCAUUUUUGGGGUUAAUUCUAGUGAUUCCGUAUAGAUUCUGAAGUAGGAGUAAUAAUGGAGGAGAAACAGUAAAUUUGGGUGGGAAAAUAGUUAAGAACGUGGUUAUGUGGGAGAAGAGAGUAAAUUAUAAGCAAAAGAGAGAGAGCGAACGUUUUUACAGGAGAUAUACGUGAUUAUGUGAGGGAAAAUACUAAAAAGGAGAGAGAAAAAUAUUAUUUAGCAUAUAUAAUGCCUUAAAUAUAGGAUGUAACUAUAAUUAGAAUUUUUGCUAUAAAGGAUAAAAGAUAUUUAUAUGAUGUGAUAUUUUAAAAUAGUAUUUAUUUAAUAUAAAUAGGGUAUUAAGGUUUUCUAUAGGGUGUAAAUUUCCAUUAAAGAAUUUAAUAGCCUUAACAAAAUUAUAAUCUAUGGCAACUUAAUAAAAUAAUUAUGAGAUACCAUAAAAUAACUAUGCAUUAAAUACCAUAAUAUUAUUAUAGUAAACUUUUUAUAAAGCGUGAGAUGAAAGAAAUAUUUUUUAUCUCUCCUUAAUAAAGAAAAGUUAUAUUUUUCACAAAAACGACAACAAGAAUUAUACUAAAUAAUAAUAGUAAUAAUAAUAAUAAUAAAAAAUAAUAAUGAUGAUGAUUGUGACAAUAAGAAAACUAUAAAGAAUAAUAUUGGUAGUAAUAAUAGUUAUAAUAAUGAUAUAAUAAUAAUAAUAAUACUAAUAAUAAUAAUAAUAAUAAUUCUACUAAUAUUAAUAAUAGUAAUAGCAAUAAAUAUAACAAAAGUACUAGUAAACGUAAAGUAUGUAAUUAUUAAUAAAUUAAAAGCUCAAAAAAAUAAUUGGAAGAAAGGGGACAAAAUUGGAUGUCAACAAACAACACUCUUGCAAUCCAAGAAGACUGAAUUAUGAUACUAUAUUGGUUCCGAACCAGUAUAAAAUGUUAUUUACUCUAAUACUCUCAUACUAUAUUUUUUUGCCCUUACUAUUUAUUGUGAUUAACAUUUGUUUAAAUCGAAAAGACUAACAGUUUUGUGCAGACUGUCUCCACAUAAGUCGAUUAGAUCAGAAGAGUAGUCGACUAGAAAUUUAAAAAGGGUACAAUUCAUCCAGCCCUACUCUUAAUUGGUAUCAGAGCAGGUCUCACUUAUUUAUUUUUUUUUGCUUAAAAGCAAGUGAGAAAAGAUCCAUGACAAGCCAUCAAAUUAUUGGAAUAGUACUUCAAGAGGGAUACUCAACAAGAAAGCAUCGUACUUCAAUAGUCAAUACUAUAGCCAUUUAAAAGAAAGAAUUAAGGUUUAUGUUCAAUCAAUAGAUUAUCUGGCGUGGAUAGUUAUUCAUAAUAGAUCAAUACUUAUUCUGAACAACAAUGAUGCGAAAAAACUUGUAAAAAGAGAAUCCAUAUUUGACUCACAAAAGAGUAGUUGGAUAUUAUGCAAAUAAAUGCUAGAGCAAUCACCAUGCUCUAUUAUGUGAUAGUUAAGAAGAAUAUAAGAGAAUAUUCAUAUGUGAGAUUGCUAAAGAUAUAUGGGACAGAUCGGAAAAUAUCCACGAGAACGCCAACAGAGUUAAGGAAAUUAAAUCCACGUCAACUUUUGAAGAAUCCAAAAAUGGUGAAGAUCGAUAAGACUUGGAUGUGAUGCCAAGGACAAGAAAAAGGAAAAGUAGAAAGAAACAUAAUAGAAAAUCUCAAUCCAUCAAGAAUCAUCAAAAGAAUCGGAAGAAUGAGGUUCAACAACAAGAGAACAUAUGCUGCUACAAAUGUGGUAAACCUGGACAUAUGAAAUUAGAAUGUCCUAGACUCAAUAAUAAAAACCAUAGAAUUUCAACUUGUAGCGACGAGGAUGAUCAAGAAGAAAUGACAAAAAUAUGUCUCAAGAAAAGAAUGGGAAACUGACGAGGUGUGCUUUAACGCUAUUAUGGAUUAUGAUUUCAAGAAAAAGAAUCACAAAUCAUGUAGCGAUGGGGAUGAAUCUAAAGAAGAAAACAAUCACGAAAGAAUGAAGAAUCAAUAUUUUAUGGCGAUGUGAUAAAUUAACAAGGUGUGUCACACUCCUAUUAUGUAUUGCGAUAACUGUGAUGAAUUGCAGGAUGAUAUAGAAUUGUUUCUCAAGGAAUUUAAGAAAGUUCUAAGUGAAUAUCAUAAGUUGAGGACGGAGAAGAAGAAUUGGGUGAUCCAAUUUGAAGAAUAUAAGAAGUUGACACAUAAGAAGAUAGAAUGGGAGAUCCAACUUGAAGAAUACAACAAGUUGAAAAAUGAAAAAAAAUGAGUGGGAUAUUAAGCUUAAAGAAUAUCUGGUGGAAAAUAACUUACAUCGAGAAGAAAAUUUUAAGUUUCACAAAUAAAUUAGCAGCUUGCACAAAUCCCCCAGCCACUACUUUGAUCGAUCAAAGUUGUCUCCUUGUCUUAACAACUAUAAGUCGAUCUAAAAGGGAUCUAUUGGUAAACGUCUUACUUUGAACAAGUUGACUGAGGAAAGCCCAAGUCAAACUAAUAAGAAAGAUGCAAGUAAACACUCUUCUUCUCAUAUUACAUGUCACUAUUGUGGCAAUUUUGGACAUAAAGUAUUUAUAUGCAAUUAUAUCAAAAGUUAUGUUAGAUCAAAAUAUAUUUGGAGGCCAAAAUAGAUACAUGCCUCCCAAACUAUACAAUUUACUAACCAUGAAAGACCCAAAAAGAUUUGGAUACUAAAAUAAAUUAAUCUAUUUUGCAGGAAUUCUGAGUCCAGACAUAAAAAGGGAUAAAUGACAUUUGCAUAAUGUCUGGUCAAGGCACGCUUAAAGAUGCUUCAAAAUUCAUACAUUCUCUAUAAAUAAUAAAAGAACUAUUACACAUGUUGGUAAAGCUUAUGUGAUUGAUAUGACUAAAGGUUAUUCAAGUUUCUUCGAAUGCUUUAUAAGGUGAUAUGUAUCUAGUAAUAUUUUUGGUUAAAUAUAAUACGAUAUGUACAACUACAUAUUGCUUGAGUCGACUUGCUGCAAUGCUACUAUUAUGCUUGAUGUUAAUAUUUUCCUUGACCUAAAGAUUUUGAAUGAAUGAAUUUAUAUCUUGGAUGAACCAUACCUUUUGUAUAAGCAUUAGGAUAAGCAAGCAUUCAUGCAUGCAUUCCUUUCAUGUAGAUGUGAGCAUAAGUUAAUUUGUGAAGAGUAUUACUUCUUAUAUCCAUUCGCUUAGUGAAAGUUUUAAUAAUUCAUUCAAAUCUGAGAAGGUUGUUUAACCUUGAUGCCUCGGUAACUUGUACAUGUGGAGAUACUUGACUGUUCCUAAGACUCAAAACUUUGGAUGGUGUGUGUGUGUGUGUAUAUAUAUAUAUAUAUAUAUAUAUGUUCUAUUGAUAAUUAUUCUUACUUUUGCUUAGGUCAUAUUUUAAUAAUGCAUUUGUUGACAUUUCCUUGCAACAAACAUGAUCUCUCAUAUUUUUAGUUUGGCGCCUCAGUUGAAAGCAGACUUGAAAAGAACGCAUAAGUUUUGCAUAAAUUGUCAUCAUUGGCUUAUAUAAACUUUAAUAUUUUUCUUUGGAUCUUAUCUUGAAUGAAACUUUAUCUGAGCUAUGAGAAAGAAGAAAAAUCAAUUUUUGGUUAUCUUAUUUUCCUUGGUUGCAACUGUCUUGGUAAGCCUCUUGACAUAUUUCUUAUUAAUUAAUUGUAGAGAAAUCUCAUCACGUGCGUUUUUCUUUAUACUAAUAUUUUUCUAAGAAAAUUAUAAAUAAGGAUGGAGAACUUACAGGGGAUAGCUUGAAAUAAAUUUCUAGUGACACAUCUAUGCUAGUUGAACUAGACAGUCAUGAAGAGGCAUUGAAUGCUGAGCUCUGAUAAUACAAGAUUUGGUGAGUAAAGCUGAAAGAAUCAACAGUAUGAAAAUCCAGUACCAAGCAAAUGAGCUACAAUCAUGAAUAUCUAAAUCCUGAUAACAUUGAUAAAGUUGUGAAAAUUAUGCGUAAACUUGUAGCCUAAGGUUUCACUAUAAGAAAGUUUGUAUCUUCCCAGAGAGAUUUUUUAGAACAAUAAUUUUCAAGUGCAUAUUACAAAGUUUGCAAACUAUUUUUGUAUAUAUUUUAAAAUAUCUUUUAAAUCGUUUGAAAAUUGCAUAAUAUUAUUCUCUAAUCUCUCUUUGGAAUUGAAGGGCUUUUGAAUCACAUUCUUGUGACCAAGACUAGUUAUCACUUGAAACAAAUUUAUAUUUAUCAUCUGGCAAUUAUUCUUUUCAAAGAUGCAUUUACAAGAAUUUACAAGAGCAUAUUUUAUUGGUAAUACUAAUCAAAAAUAUGUCAAACUUUCUAAAGUCUCUAGAAGAUGAUCGGUUGAGUAUAAUGGAGAAUUUACUUUUAUCUUCACAUUCCAAAUAAUGUGAAGUAAGGAAAAUUAGUAAGUCCAACGAUCAAAUAAAGUACCAAGGUAUGGCUGACUCUUAACUGCAUUUUAUGACAUAUAUUUUGGUAUACCUGAUCCCAUAAUAUCUUUUAUAGUGCCACAGGUGACCUUUGGUUGAUUCUAAAUUAUGGAUUACAGUAUGUAAAUACUAAUUGUUUUGAUCUAGUAGAAUAUUUUUAGACGCAAAUCUUGCAGGCAAGAAAGUGGAUUGAAAUAAAAAUGAUUUGGAAAUUUUUAAUAUUCUCAUGUCAUGAAUAGGAUAACGACUUUCAUGAGGAUGAUCUCAUAUCCUUCAUUUUGGUAAUAUGAAUACAUGACUAUUUCUUGACUCUUGUAUGCAUUAAUAUGUUGUAAUCUUUCUAAGAGUCAUAAGUCUUUGCUCAAUUUUUUCUUGAAAGUUUAACAUGUGAGGAUAUCAAAAGUUUCUUCAUCUUUUUAAAUUAUCGAGCGGUCUUCAAGUGACUAUGUGCGAUUACGCUGUGUUAUAUGCUAAAUGAUGUUUUGAAAAAAUCAAGUAUUCUGUGAGUUUUCUUUAUCUUUGCUAAGCUUUUAAUCAUGUGAAAUGAUAUUCUCUUAUGGUCUAGAAUUAGUUUUGUCUACCUACAAUGACAGUUCAGUAUUUUUUAGCUUUGGGUUAAUACUUUGGAUAUUUUGAUCGGAUUAAAAGCUGUUAACUAGCUUAAAAUUUUGUUAGAUUUUUUUUUCCUGCUAUGUGGCUCUUAAAGUGAAUUAUUACUGUACGUUUUUUAUAACUCCCUGGAUGAUUAUAAGUUAUAGUUAUACUUUACUUGCAUAUUCCCUACGAGUUCUUUCACCCUUUUGAUGAUGCCAAAAGGGGAAGAAAAUAAUGUGUAGAAAAGUUCGAAAAAGGUAGAAUCUAUGGAGACAGGGGGAGCAUGACAAAAGAACGCUUAGAGUAAGGGGGAUCCUUUACGUGGCAUGACGUCUAUGAAUGAAAGAGAAAGCUUGACUUUUUAGGGAAGUAAUCUUUACUGUACUUUAAUUAAGUCUUUGAUUAAAUUUUCUUAUUUUGUACUCGUUCGAGCUCAAUUUCAUCGACCUUCAAUUCAAGGACUCACUCACUGCUAUCAAUUCUGCAUUCACUAAGGUCCCUUCCCUUGCUACAUGCGAAACUCCUAGAAGAGAUGAUAGGAAGCGGAAUAAAAGUAGUCUUUCUUCCCUUUGACUUCCGAGCUGGACGUGAGUUCAAUCCUUUCAGUUGAAUAAAGAAAGCGCGGAUUUGGGGCUUCAACUACAAAGACUAGCUAUACCUGCAAGACUUGAUAUAUUGUCAAUUACUAAGAUGUGCAUCUAUCAUUUAUUUGACUUACUCCUUAUCCUGUGAUCACUGAAUGAACUCCUACCAAGCAUGGAUUAAAAACCUUUGCUAUACGCAAAUGUGGAAGUUUAUCUUUAGCCCUUCUUCUAUCGAACCUGCCUUCCCGGAAAGCACUCGCAUGUAAUAGUUUGUCAUCAUAAAAAACAGGGAUAUUGUUAGCUCCAAGGUUUCACAUAUUAAUUUUGAUGAUAACAAACCAAAAUAAUUAUUAAUCAAAGAAUAUUUACUUAUGGUAAUCUUAUUCUUGUACAAUAAAAAAAAUGCUGGUAAAGAUCCAAAUAAAAAUAUGGGAAAGAAAAUAUCUUAUGAAGAAUUUAUCAAGAAAGAUUAUUUUCAGAGAUUUAAUCUAGAAGGAGUAAUAUUUGAAAGCGAAAUUUCAAAUAUUGAAUGGCUUACUACAAUAUCAGAAGAAGAAUCUAUGGAAAUUAUGAAUGGAAAGCUUUUCAACAUCUUAAAAAGAAAGUUGCUAAAAUCACGAAGAAGAUCUGUUAUUUUGUGGAAGAAAGAUACUAUAUGGAAAAGAUACUACAAGGCAAGGAAGAAUAUAUUUUCUAUGGAAAGAAAAUAUAUUAUGUAUGUAAUACAAUAUAUAUUAUAGAAAGAUAUUAUUAUCCAAGAUCAACAAAGGAAUAUUUUCAAUAUAAUGAGAGAAGAAUAUAUUUUCUAUGGAAAGAAAAUAUAUUAUGGGUAUAGUAUAUUCUAUAUUAUAGAAAGAACUUUGGACAACCAAAGAGAAUAUUAGUUAGCAAGAAAAGUAAAUUCAAAAAGGAUAUUCACCAUCAUUUGUAGAAUAAAAGGAAGUCGAUGAAGAUUUUAUAUAAGAAAACAAAUCAAGGAAUAUCUAUUUUCCAUACGUCAAGAUACAAGGAGCCUUGCCAAUCUAUAUAAGACUAUCAGAAGCUUUUAUGCAAAGAUUCUUACCUAAAAUUAUUAAGGAAAGCCUAGAGGGUGCACAAAAGAAUAUCAAUAUUCAAAGACUUAGUGGUCAUCUGCAGGAUUACUUAUGCUUUGUUUUGUUAUUUUGUUUGGUCUUGCCUUGGUUACUAAUUUUNNNNNNNNNNNNNNNNNNNNNNNNNNNNNNNNNNNNNNNNNNNNNNNNNNNNNNNNNNNNNNNNNNNNNNNNNNNNNNNNNNNNNNNNNNNNNNNNNNNNNNNNNNNNNNNNNNNNNNNNNNNNNNNNNNNNNNNNNNNNNNNNNNNNNNNNNNNNNNNNNNNNNNNNNNNNNNNNNNNNNNNNNNNNNNNNNNNNNNNNNNNNNNNNNNNNNNNNNNNNNNNNNNNNNNNNNNNNNNNNNNNNNNNNNNNNNNNNNNNNNNNNNNNNNNNNNNNNNNNNNNNNNNNNNNNNNNNNNNNNNNNNNNNNNNNNNNNNNNNNNNNNNNNNNNNNNNNNNNNNNNNNNNNNNNNNNNNNNNNNNNNNNNNNNNNNNNNNNNNNNNNNNNNNNNNNNNNNNNNNNNNCUCUCUGCCCUUUUGGGUAGGGGUAAGACUGCCUACAUAUUACCCUCCCCAGACCCCACCUGGUGGGAGUAUACUGGGUAGUUGUUGUUGUUGUAAAGACUUAGUGGUCAUAUUUGGAAAGAUAAAAAAAGAAAGAUUAUCAUGUCCUGCAAUUAAGAAAAGACCCACAAGGAAAGGAUUUCAAGCAAGACAAACACUAUAUUUUGUCCAAGUUAAUAAUAAGCAAUCUAACCUUGGACAUGUCACAACCCCGGUUCGUCCUCCGUGAAUCAUCGUGACGACACCCAGUCUCCACAACUAGGCAAUCUAAGUUGCGGAAGAAAACCAAACUUGCGGAAAUAAAACGAUUUAAAAACAUAAUUGAAGCAAUAAUAGUGUUAAAUAUGCCACUCGACAUACACCAUAUAUGUAUAAGUCUCAAAACCAAUAUCAAAAUUCAAGACCUGGAACCCCACAAAUCACAAACUAAGUUAGAUGCCACAUAGAUGUAACUCCGGAAUGUCUAACAAACAGCAAAGUACAUAAGGGCUAAACACUAAAGUAGGAAUAGAAGGGGACUCAUUGGUCUGCGGACGCAACAAAUGUACCUCAAAGUCUCUAAACAGUCGCCUCCCUCAAGGAUGGUAGGCCUGAUCAGUGGUACAUGGAUCUGCACCUGAAAAACAUGCGCAGAAGAGGCAUGAGUACACCAAGUGGUACUCAGUAAGUGCCAAACCUAACCUCGGGCAGGUAGUGAUGAGAAAGGUCAGGGCCUUACCGAGAUUAAUAAAUAAUAAAUGACAGGAUAAGAUAACAAUAUAAUUGAGAGUCUACAGUAAGAGUCCAUGAAGGAUAAUAAGAGUACAAUAAUAGAAACAGGAUAUAAAGACAAAUAACAAGGAAUACCUCUCACAACAAGGGUAAUAACCGGGGAUCUCUUGGUAUCCCGAGGAUCUCUCGGUAUCCUCAAUGUAUACACUAGGGUUAUCUAGGUAUCCCGAGGAUCUCUUGGUAUACUCAGUAUAUAUAUGCCAGGGAUCUCUUGGUAUCAUCAAUAUAAAUGCCAAAGAUCUCUUGGUAUCCCAAGGAUCUCUUGGUAUCCUCAAUAAACGUGCAAAGGAUCUCUUGGUAUCCCGCACCUCAGUCCAGAUUAUAAUUUCGUACAGGGGAUCUCUCGGAAUGCCAUCCCAUAGUCCCAAAUUAAAAUACACUGCAGCAACACAAGAAUAAUAAAUUAAAUGCAAACUUCGUACAAGUACACAGUUAAAUUCUAGCCUAACAUGCUUCACGUGAUGCAAUUAAGGCAGUUUAAACAAAUAGGCAAUUAAGUCAACUAAGCAUAAUUUUCUAACUAACAACAUACUAAGUUUGCAAGCAGAAUAAAACAGGGAAGAAACGAACUCAGUUAAAAUACUUAAAGUAAACCGACUUUCAACAAGUACCUCAAGUUUGCGCUCGUCGCCUCACGUACAAGGCAUUUUAAUUAUCAAAUAUCAUAUCCUAAGUGGAAGGUCUCCCCCACACAAGGUUAGACAAACCACUUACCUCGAACAAGUGCAAGUCAAUCCAAAACCACGCCUUUGCCACGAGUAUCCAACUCCAAAUGACCCAAAUCUAUUCAAUUCAAUUGUAUAUUGUAAAUAACAUCUCAAUUAACUUAUUCUAUUAUUAAUUUCUAAACCAAUACGAAAAAUUAGGUAAAAAUGCCCCUCAGGUCCACGUCUCGGAAUCGGGUGAAAUUUAUAUUUUCAGAAUCCUCACAAUCACAUAAGUCUAAUCAUACAAGAAUCGCUCAAAUUGAAUGUCAAAAAUCCAAUCAAAACUCAAUAAUUCGGCCUAUGAAGUUUACCCAAAUUUUCUACAAAAAUUCGAAAUUUAAAGGCUAGAUUUAAGUUAUGAAUCAUAAAAAUAGAUCUAAGUUGGGUAAAGAUCAUUUACCCAAGUUUCCCAGGUGCAAAAGUCUUCAAAAAUCUCCCCUCUCGAGCUCCCAAAUUCAAAACUGUGAUAAUAGGCGUAAACCUCGAACUGGGAUUUUUAAAGAAUCUGCCCAGGUAAUUUGUGCACUGCGAACACAGAAGGACAAUCGCGUUUGCAAAGAAGGGAACUAAAGCUGCCAAGGAAAGGCCAUCAACAACGCGAGAUAAGGGACACGAACACGGAGAGUAAAUAGCAGGGACUUACACGAAUGUGAAGAAGAAAUAGCCACAGGCCCUUAACGCCAAAUUCUACUAUGUGAACGCGAAGAGGGGGAAAGGCACACCUUCGCGAACGCGGAUGGCUAACCGUGAACACGAAGAACAAUAAAUUCCUCCUCCAAGAUUACUCUUCACGAAUGCGGAGGAGAAGAUGCAGACGUGAAGAAGGAUACCGGCUGACAGUUUUUUUUGCAAUUCAACAAGUUCUACAAAAGACCCAUUGACCAUCCGAAACACACCCGAGGCCCACGGGACCUCAGCCAAACCUAUCAACCAAUCCUUAAAUAUCAUUUAAACUUGUUCCAACCUUUGUAACGCUCCAAACAGCAUCGAAACACCUAUUUUUCAUCGUAUUCAAGCUUAAGAAUUCCAAAAACUCUAGAAACACACUUUCGAUAAAAAAGUCUAUCAAAAUUUGUCCGAAUGACCUGAAACUUUACACACACAUUACAUUAAACACUACGAGCUACUUCUACUUCUGAAAUUCCAUACCGAACCUCGGAUCAAAAUCUUACUAUCGAACUGAAAAUUUCCAAAAUUCAACUUUCGACAUUUCAAGCCUAAAUUAGCUACGGGCCUCUAAAACACAAACUAAACACGCUUCUAACCCCAAUAUCACCCAAUGAAGCUAACAGAUCCAUCGAAUUUCCAUUCCGAUGCUGUUUUCACAUUGUUCCGACUAUGGUCAAUUUUUUUCCAAUACUUAAGCUCUCAUUUAGGACUAUGUGUGCCGAAGCUCUCCGAAACUCAAAAUUGAACAUCCCGACAAAUCAAAUUAGCAGAAUUAAACUUGGGGAAGUAGUUAAUAUGGGAUCAGGGUGUAAAUUUUUAAGACGAUCGGCCAGGUCUUCACAGGACAAAAAGCCACAAAUCAUAUUGGUUCGAAGGAGGAUCUCAUGGCGUGACAAAAUUUAUAUCAAGGCUAGAUAUGGAAAUAGAUAUUACUCCAAGAUUCAAGAAGGCAAUGGAUGCAAUGAAGAUCGCGAGAAUAUUCAAAAUUCCCUUGGGUCAUGAAAUAGCCAGAACAAGUUGAAAAAGAUAUAAAUAGACGCUUCUAAGAAAGAAGAAAAGUACACAACCUUCUAUACAAUUUCCUAUCCAACUACAAAUUAUUUAUUCUACUCUUAACAAGUAUUGUCAUUCAUUUUAGUAGAUUUACUGUGUACCCAAUAUAGAGAAGAGAGACUAAUAAAUAUUGGAGAGGCAGUGUGUCCUAGGGGUUGUGUCAUUGGUCGUUGUUGGUGAGAGAGUGAAUACCAACCUUGUCACAAUUGGUGGUGAUCGCUGAAAAUCACAAAUACUGUACUCAAUUCAAUUUACAAAGAUCUCUAAAAUACAAUACUCUUGCAAUCUAAGAGGACUAGAUUAGGAUACCAUAUUGGUUUCGAGCGAGUAAAAAAUUACUUAUGUCAUUUACUCUAUCUCUCUCAUAUUAUAUUCUGUUCCCUUACUAUUUAUUGUGAUUAACAUUUGUUUAAAUCGAAAAGACUAAAAGUACGGUCAGGCUGUCUCCGCAUAAGUCAACUAGAUCUGAGGAGUAGUCGACUAGAAAUUUAAAAAGGCUACAAUUCAACCCCCCUCCCAUACUUUCAAGUUGAUGUACUGUGAAAUUACAGGAAGUGCAUAUCAGACUGACUGCUUGGGAACUAUCAUAUAUGGUUUCAAUAUAAUUGAAUAAAUGAAGGGGUUAUAGGAAUAUUUGAAGACAUUAGCUUAAGGCACUACAAAAACUUUGCUAGUGAUAGGUGAUUUUAAUGUAAAUAUCGUGUUCAACAGACAUAGAUCAGGGUAAUAUUGUACAACAAGCUAAUAUUCAAGACUUUGUUGAGUGCAUUUAGACACCUAAUCUAAGUGAAUUGAUAUGGAAAAGGGGAUUACUAUACAUGGACAAUAAACAAAGAAUGUAAGAUAGAAUUCAAAGCAAAAUUGAUAGAGCAUUUAGGAUUUAUGAAUGGAUGAUAAAACAUGGCAAUAUAGUAGUGGAAUAUGAAUUGAUAGGGAUAUCAGAUCAUGACCAUGGGAGAUGAGUAGAAUAACACUAAGUGUCCAUUUAGGUUCUUCAAUUUUUGGGUAGAGCAGAAAGGAUUUGAUCAAAUAGUGGAAGAAACUUAAAAACAAGUUAAAGACCCUUAGCUCAUGAGGGGAAUAUGGAGAAAACUGAAAACAUUAAGAACCAGACUGAAGAUAAUGAACAAUAGCGAAUUCAAAAAUGCUGAACAAAAAAUGGAAGAAGCAAGGAAUGAAAUCAAAAGAGUGCAAGAUGCAACAGAAUUAUAAUGAUAUUAUGGAGGAAUAAGAGAGAAAUGCAUUAAAAAAAUUAGAAAAGUGGUCAAUGAUUGAAGAGAGUAUUAUGAAGCAAAAGGCAAGGGCUAAAUGGAUACAGUUGGGGGAUGCAAACACUAAGUAUUUCUCAGCAGUAAUGAAGGAAAUGAAGCACAUAAAGCAAAUAAAAGAACUGACAGCUAUGGAUAAAAAGAAAACAAACAAACUAGCUGAGGUUAAAGGGCAGAUAAUUAGAUUCUAUAAGAGUCUAAUGGACACAUCAGCAAAAAAACUUACCACAGUAAAUAGAACAGUAAUGAAGAAAGGCCAAUACUGACUCAAGAACAAAGGCUAUUGCUAUGUACAGAAGUUACUAACCAGGAAGUGUUUGAGGGGCUAAAAGGAAUAGGAGAUGAUAAGACUCCAGGGAUAGAUGGAUAUAAUGUUGUAUUUUUCAAAAGAAUAUGGUACAUUAUUGGUAGUGAGGUAACUACAUCAAUACAAUAUUUCUUCUCAACAGGAAGAUUAUAUAGAUGCAUUAAUUGUACAUCCAUCACUUUGAUACCUAAGAUAGAUAAUCCAGCAACAAUCAAAGAGUAUAGACUAAGAGCAUGUUGCAUAGUGUUAUACAAAAUGAUUUCAAAGAUCUUGGUAGCAAGAAUGUAGAAGGUAAUUGAGGGGAUUAUAUGUGAAGUACUAGCUGGUUUUGUCCCAGGAAGGAAAAUAAGUGAUAAUAUUAUAUUGGCUCAUGAACUAGUAAAGGGAUAAACAAGGAAACAUAUAGCACCAAGGUGCAUGAUUAAAAUAGACAUACAGAAGGGUUAUGAUUUAGUAGAAUAAAGCUAUUUGGAACAAACUAUGAGGUUGCUAGGAUUCCCUUAAAGAUUUAUAACUUGGGUGAUGGAAUGUGUUAAAACAGUGAACUAUACUAUUAUGAUGAACGGAGAGCCAACUGAUCCUUUCAAUGAUGAGAAUGGACUUAGACAUGGGGAUCAUAUGUCUCCAUUUCUUUUUGUAAUUGCAAUGGAGUAUUUAAGUUGAACCUUAAAGGAAAUAGCAGAGAGGAAGCAGUACCAUUACCAUCCCAGAUGUGCCAAAUUAAAAUUAACUCAUUUAUGUUUUGCAGAUAAUUUUUUAAUAUUUUUCAGAGAAGAUGUUGAAUCAGUAACAAAGGUUCUUCAAAGCUAUAACCAAUUCUCAGAUGCCUCAAGGUUACAAGCAAAUAUAGGGAAAAGCUCUAUUUAUUUUGGAGGGGUGGGACAACAAGACCAAGAGCAGAUACUGCUAGGAUGUACGAGAGGAAUGUUACCUUUCAAAUGCCUGAGAGUUCCACUGUCAACUAGAAAACUAACAAUGAUACAAGGAAGCCUCUCAUUGAGAAGAUUGUAGGAAUCACUUCAUGCACAACCAAAAAUCUGUCAUAUGCAUGUAUAAGUAAGUGGAUAAAUAGUGUUUUAUUUGGAGUCCAUUCCUAUUGGGCUCAAUUGUUCAUAUUGCCAACAAAGGUAAUGAAAGUUGUGAAAAGCUUUUCUAGAAGCUAUCUUUGAACAUGUAACAAUGUCAUUACAAAGAAAGCACUAAUCAGUUGGGAAAGAGUAUGCUGUCCUAAAAGCAGUGGAGGAUGGAACCUCAUUAAUAUGAGAAUCUGGAACAAGGCAACCAUAAUCAAGCUGUACCGAAAUUUAGCAAAGAAAGAGGAUAUGAUAUGGAUAAGAUGGAUUCAUGCAUACUGUAUAAAAGGGCAACAUAUGGAGCAAGUAAAAAUUUUAUAACAAGUUGGAUGGUGAGGAAAAUAAUAGAAGCCAAACAUCUACUAGAACAGAGCAAUGUAAAUAUUUGCAGAGAAAAGCGAUCAUUAAACAUAUAUACCUUCAGCCACUAGGUGAUCAACCAAGAAUGCCAUGGAAAUGUUUAAUGUUUGGGAAUGCUGCAAGACCAAAAGCUAAGUUCAAUGUGUGGUUGCAAAUGCAAAAUAUGCUACUUACUGCUGAUAGGUUGAACAAAUGGGGAAUACAGGUAGAUGACAAAUGCAUUUUAUGCCAGAGAGAAGAGGAAACAAAGAGACCAUCUCUUUGUGGAAUGUGAUUCUACAAAAAGAGUGAUGCAAAAGCUUAUGCACUGGACACAGAAUCAAAGUAUAACAACAACUACCUGGGAACAACAUGUGUAUGUGAUGAUCUAGAGAGCAAAAGGCAAAUCAAAAGAAGUUCAACUAUUCAAGAUGUUAUAUUCUGAAGUAGUACAUAGUAUAUGAAUUGAAAGUAACAGAAGGAUUUUUGAGAAAACAAGUACAAGAUGGGAGAGGAUAACCAAAGAGAUAGCUUGUGUUUGUCGUGUAUGAGCUCCGCCUAGUCUAGUUGAUAUAGUUUAAAGAUAUAGAUUUUAACAAUAAGAAGAGAUUGAGCAUCAUGUAAAUAUGAUAGUUUUAGCUGUGUU
rnacentral:lncRNA from 1 species